rnacentral:lncRNA from 1 species
AGUCCCAGAGGUUCCUCAAGUGUGUGGGAGAUCACUUCCUGACACAGCUGGUGAGGCAGCCAGCAAGGGCAAGCAAAAUCCUGCUGUUUGUUCACAGAGAAGGUCUCGUGGGGGAUGUCAAGGCUGGAGGCCGCCUGGGGCAAAGGGAUCGUGAGAUGCUAGAUUUCUCAAUCCUUGUUGAACCACGGAGGGGAGUCAGCAGAACUGCCACCUUGGACUGCCGGAGAGCAAACUCGAACCUCUUUAGGACCAUGGUUGAGAGGGUCCCUUGGGAAGUACUUUUGGAGGGCGUGGGAGCCCAGGAAGGCUGGCAGUACUUUCCAGAAGUAAUUCUAAAGGUGCAGGAGCUGACCAUCCCCAGGUCAUGGAAGAUGAGCUGAUGGGCAAGGAGGCUGGACUGGCUGAACAGAGACCUUCCACUGGAACUCAAGAGCAAAAUGAAAGAUUAUGGUCUGUGGAAGAGUGGGCAAGCUACUUAUGAUGAUUACAGGAACUCCGCCACAGCAGCAUUUUCCAGUCCGUGGCACCUUGAUCCCAGGAUGUGCUCCGCACCGUGCUUCUAGGGCAUCAACAUCUGCUGCUGCACAAAGGCCCCUGAAAGGAAAAGCACCCUCGCACGUUUGCGCUGCUCCCACACUCCCCAGAACUGUCUCUCAAAUCUCACAUAACACAGACUCUCUCAGACUCUUGGCUGCAGCCCAAUAGCACAGCAUCCCCUCUCUCACUUCAUGAGCCAAGAGGCCAUAGUUUGUCAUCCCCUCUCUCACUUCAUGAG